rnacentral:ncRNA from 1 species
UAUUAUGCAUGUGGGGCUCUCCUUACUGUCUGCCGCGUACUUUUAUUUUGGCGCGGCAAAUACAAGUCUCGCGUGACAUAUAAAAAAAGGAGGAAUACAUUUCCCUUUGGCUCGGGGUGCGGCAGUGUGGAGACCUGUCGUAAUGCGGGUGGCUUUUGCCCCUGCGAGGCCGCAUCAGGAGGAUUCCGUGCGGUUGGAGCCGUGUAGGUAUGGCA